GGGGUUGUGGCUUAGUAGUAGAGCACUUGCCUCACAUGCAUGAGUCACUGGGUUCCAUCCUCAGCACCA
rnacentral:tRNA from 1 species